UAUACUUCCGUAAUGCAGACAAUGGAUGCCUAGGAUGUCAAAGCCGAAGAAGGACGUACAGGGCCGCGAUAGUCGUCGGGGAGCUGCCAAGAAGCGCUGAUCCGGCGGUUUCCGAAUGGGGAAACCCCUCCUAUAUGGAGACCACGUUCAGUUAAAUGAACGUGGGGGGAACGUCUCGAACUGAAACAUCUAAGUAGGGACUGGAAAAUAAAUCAAAGAGAUUCCGUGAGUAGCGGUGAGCGAAAUCGGAAAAGCCUAAACCACCCGUUGCCCGUAAGGGCUAUGGAGUGGUGUUGCGGGGCAAGUAAUGUGGGAUUGGGUUUUGGAUAGCCGAACUGUCUGGAAAGUCAGGCCAGAGCGCGUGAUAGCCGCGUAGGUGAAAUCUAAAUCCACCCUAGCUUGUUCCCAAGUACCAUGAAGCACAUACUUUGUGGGAAUCCGGGGCAACCACGCUCCAAGGCUAAAUACUUUGGCAUACCGAUAGUGAACUAGUACCGUGAGGGAAAGGCGAAAAGAACGGGCGAAACCCGAGUGAAAUAGAACCUGAAAUUGUCUGCUAACAAGCAGUGAGAGUCCGCCAUCUGGCGGAUGAUCGCGUGCCUAUUGAAGAAUGAUCCGGCGAGUUUUCGGUUGUUGCGAGUUUAAUCCCGAUUAAAUCGGGAGUAGGCGGAGCGAAAGCGAGUCUGAAUAGGGCGAAAAGCAGCAGCUGGAAGACCCGAAACCUGGUGAGCUAAUCAUGAGCAGGGUGAGCUCCGGUGAAAACCGGAGGGAGGCCCGUACCCGUCAGGGUUACAAACCUGUGGGACGACUUGUGAUUAGGGGUAAUAUGCCAAUCGAACCAGGAGAUAGCUGGCUCUCCCCGAAAUAUAUAUAGGUAUAGCCUCUCGUUAAAAACUUAUCAGAGGUAGAGCACUGGAUGGGUGUUGCAGCGCAAGUUGUAAUAUUCAAUCAAACUCCGAAUGCUGGUAAGAACUUACGAGGGAGUCAGAACGACCCGGCUAAGCGGGCCGAUCUAAAGGGAAACAACCCAGACUGUCGUCUAAGGCCUCUAAAUGAACGCUUAGUGUUGAACGUAGUCAAAUUCCUCAGACAGCCAGGAGGUUGGCUCAGAAGCAGCCAUCCUUUAAAGAAAGCGUAACAGCUCACUGGUCGAAUUUGGAGUUUGGCGCGGAAAAUGAACCGAGGCUGAAGCGUUUUGCCGAAGACACAGGAUUUGUGUGUAGCACAAAAGUUAUUCAGUUCGACAGUUUUCCAGUUUGUCAGUUUAAAUCAACUGUGCAACUGGUUAACUGGAAUACUUAGUAACUUUCGUGCUGCGCACGAAUCGGUAGGGGAGCGUUGAAAUUGCUGCGAAGGGCUGGUGUAAACCGGUUUGGAGCGGUUUCAAGUGAGAAUGCCGGAAUGAGUAGCGUAAGUCCGAUGAGAAUUCGGACCGCCGAAAUCCCAAGGUUUCCUGGGCGACAUUGUUUGGCCCAGGGUGAGUCGGCACCUAAGGCGAGGGCGUAGUGGCCGUAGCUGAUGGACGAGCCGUGAAUAUUCGGCUACAGAGUGGACGUCGUUAAUAGUCAGGGAUAGACAAAACGAGAACAUCUGGGCGUGUGCAGUGAAUGCGCGUUUAAGCCAUGAAACAGUUGUGCCUGGAAAAUCCGGCAUGGCGUUUAAUUGAGUGGUGAUGAAGAGUUGACUUGAGAAAUUGAGUUGAUGAUCCGGAAUGUUUUUGUUUUCGAGAAAAAGUUCGUGACGAGACGUUUACUUUGCCGUACCGCAAACCGACACUGGUGGGAUGGUCGAGUAGACCAAGGCGAUCGGGAGAAGGCAGUUCAAGGAACUCGGCAAAAAAGCUGGACGUAAGUUAGCAAGAUGUCCUGUCCGCCAUUUGGCGGACCGCAGCGAAAGAUUGCUCUGCGACUGUUUAACUAAAACACAGGUCUGUGCAAACUCGAAAGAGGCAGUAUACAGGCUGAAGCCUGCCCAGUGCUCGUAAGUUAAGUGGAUGGUUUAGCCCGCAAGGGCGAAGACUUGAAAUGAAGCUCGAGUGAACGGCAGCAGUAACUAUAACUGUUCUAUGGUAGCGAAGUUCCUUGUCGGGUAAGUUCCGACCCGCACGAAAGGCUUAACGACAGAGCAACUGUCUUGAACUGUUACCCGGCGAAAUUGAAAUGGCUGUGAAGAUGCGGCCUAACUCUACUAGGACAAAAAGACCCUAUGGAGCUUUACUGUACUCAGGCCCUGUUUUGGAUUUUGAGAUAGUUUAGAGUAGGAGGUAUCCUUUGGCCGCAAGGCUUUGGGAGAAAGUGAAACACCUCUCGUUUUAAAAUCUCAAGACUUACUUAUUCCGACUGGAAACGUCGGAGGGGACAAGGUCUGGGGGGCAGUUUUACUGGGGAGGUAUCCUGCUAAAAGGUAACGCAGGAGUGCCAAGGUACACUUAAGUUCGGAUGGAAAUCGAACGGGUCGUGUAACGGCAAAAGUGUGCUUGACUGUGAGAGUGUCAGCUCGAGCAGGUGCGAAAGCAGGCCGUAGUGAUCCUCGCAUGCCACGUGGGUGGCGGCGAGCUUAACGGAUAAAAGCUACCCUAGGGAUAACAGGCUGAUCGCCGCCAAGAGUCCAUAUCGACGCGGCGGUUUGGCACCUCGAUGUCGGCUCAUCCUAUCCAGGGGGGGCAGUACCUCCCAAAGGUCCGGCUGUUCGCCGGUUAAAAGGGUACGCGAGCUGGGUUCAGAACGUCGUGAGACAGUUGACCUAAAGUAAUUCUAAUAGGUGACAAUUUCGAGCUGUCUAUCAUCCACCGUUUUUGAAUGUUAAUUUAAAUUAUGCGAGAAACUGUUAUUAGAUGAUUCCACCAACCCAAGUGUGGAUAAAAUUUGACUAUAUGCUGGAAAACCUUGUAAAUGUUUUGCUACUAGUGUAGUAUUUGUAUACUAGUAAAAAUGUAAAACCACUUUGUGUGAGAACGAAGGCAAGAUUAUCAGCAGGAAAGACUAGUCGAAUGAUCAGUGAUGAUUAUUUGGUGGGUUUUGUUGAAGGCGAAGGUUGUUUCUAUGUAGGAAUAGUUAGAAGCCAGGAAACAAUUACCCAUUGGCAAGUGGUUUAUUUUUUCAAAGUUUCACAGAACCCUUCUGGGAGGAUAGUUUUGGAAAAACUUAAACGAAAAUUAGACUGCGGCUAUAUUAAACAGAAUAGUCUAACUGAUAAAACCGAUAAAAGUUUGGCUUAUGUUGUAAGAGAUUUGCCAAGCAUUGUCGAUAAAGUAAUCCCAUUUUUUCGAAAUAAAUUGCUGACUAAAAAGGCUGAAGACUUUGAUAAAUUUUGUCGAGUCGUUGAGCUAGUAAAAUCAAGACAGCAUUUACAUAGAAAGGGGAUGGCUAAAGUUUUGGAGAUCGCCUAUUCCAUGAAUACGGGUAAGCGAAAGUUUUCAAGGGAAAAAAUACUCCGAAGCUUUGGUGACUAGAAUCCUCACAGGCCAUACGUCAGACACUACUAUGCUCAGAAUGAGCUAUGAAGUGAAGAUAUGGUCGAAUCCGUAUAGUGAUAUGCGGGAUGAAUGUCGGUCUCUAUCCAGUAGAGUCGGGGAGCUCUUGAGGGGGUCUGCCCUCAGUACGAGAGGACCAGGGUGGAGGUACCUCUGGUGUGCCGGUUGUCGCGUCUUGCGGCAUCGCCGGGUAGCUAAGUGCCUACGGGAUAACCGCUGAAAGCAUCUAAGUGGGAAGCCCUACCCAAGAUAAGGAGCUCAUGUUCACCGCAAGGUGGACAGAAGACCCGGGGAAGAAUACCCCGUAAUAGAGGCAGGCCGUGUAAGCGCGGUAACGCGUUUAGCGAACCUGUACUAAUCGGUCUUAUUGAAGUAGAUU
rfam:Candidatus Amesbacteria bacterium RIFCSPLOWO2_01_FTLL_48_25 rifcsplowo2_01_scaffold_1131, whole genome shotgun sequence.